UACGGAGGGUGCUAGCGUUGUUCGGAAUUACUGGGCGUAAAGCGCGUGUAGGCGGCCCGUUAAGUCUGAUGUGAAAGCCCGGGGCUCACCCCCGGAAGUGCAUUGGAGACUGAUGGGCUCGAGUCCCGGAGAGGAGGGUGGAAUUCCUGGUGUAGCGGUGAAAUGCGUAGAUAUCAGGAGGAACACCGGUGGCGAAGGCGGCCCUCUGGACGGUGACUGACGCUGAGACGCGAAAGCGUGGGGAGCAAACAGGAUUAGAUACCCUGGUAGUCCACGCCGUAAACGAUGAGCACUAGGUGUCGCGGGUAUUGACCCCUGCGGUGCCGAAGCUAACGCAUUAAGUGCUCCGCCUGGGGACUACGGCCGCAAGGCUAAA
rnacentral:rRNA from 1 species